rnacentral:rRNA from 1 species
CGGACGGGUGAGUAACGCGUGGGUAACCUGCCUCACACUGGGGGAUAACAGUUAGAAAUAGCUGCUAAUACCGCAUAAGCGCACAGCUCCGCAUGGAGCGGUGUGAAAAACUCCGGUGGUGUGAGAUGGACCCGCGUCUGAUUAGCCAGUUGGCGGGGUAACGGCCCACCAAAGCGACGAUCAGUAGCCGGCCUGAGAGGGUGAACGGCCACAUUGGGACUGAGACACGGCCCAAACUCCUACGGGAGGCAGCAUG